rnacentral:lncRNA from 1 species
AAAAGAACAAAUUACAUGGAAGACCAUGCCUGUCGCCUCAAGGAAGCAUGAAGAAAUUUAGGGUGGAGAAGGAAGGAAAGAAAGAAAAGCAUGUUACAAGGCACCCUUGUAAAUGAAGACAUUCAGUUCGUUCAUCUGUCUAUAAAUAACACUUUUUUCAUCCUGGAGGUUCUGGGAUUCCAAAAGGCGAGUCAUUUGUAA